rnacentral:rRNA from 1 species
GGUGCCAGCAGCCGCGGUAAUUCCAGCUCCAAUAGCGUAUAUUAAAGUUGUUGCAGUUAAAAAGCUCGUAGUUGAAUUUCGGAAUCUGUCCGUUGGUCGGGCUUAAUUGUCCGUACUGAUGUGAUGGGUUCUUACCUUCUGAAUAACCAGCAUGUCAUUAAUUUGGUGUGUUGGGGAAGCAGGACUAUUACCUUGAAAAAAUUAGAGUGCUCAAAGCAGGCUAGUGCCUGAAUACAUUAGCAUGGAAUAAUAAAAUAGGACGGCAUGGUUCUAUUUUGUUGGUUUCUAGGAUCACCGUAAUGAUUAAUAGGGAUAGUUGGGGGCAUUAGUAUUCAAUUGUCAGAGGUGAAAUUCUUGGAUUUAUUGAAGACUAACUUCUGCGAAAGCAUUUGCCAAGGAUGUUUUCAUUAAUCAAGAACGAAAGUUAGGGGAUCGAAGACGAUCAGAUACCGUCGUAGUCUUAACCAUAAACUAUGCCGACUAGGGAUCGGACGAUGUUAAUUUUAUAAUGACU